GAUGAACGCUGGCUACAGGCUUAACACAUGCAAGUCGAGGGGAAACGACGGGGAAGCUUGCUUCCCCGGGCGUCGACCGGCGCACGGGUGAGUAACGCGUAUCCAACCUGCCUCUGACUGAGGGAUAACCCGUCGAAAGUCGGCCUAAUACCUCAUGGUAUCGUCUGCGGGCAUCCAACGACGAUUAAAGAUUUCAUCGGUCAGGGAUGGGGAUGCGUCUGAUUAGCUUGUUGGCGGGGUAACGGCCCACCAAGGCUACGAUCAGUAGGGGGUCUGAGAGGAAGGUCCCCCACAUUGGAACUGAGGCACGGUCCAAACUCGUACGGGAGGGAGGGGUGAGGAAUAGUGAGCAAUGGGCGAGAGCCUGAAACAGCCAAGUAGCGUGCAGGAAGACGGCCCUAUGGGUUGUAAACUGCUUUUAUGCGGGGAUAAAGUGAGGGACGUGUCCCUCAUUGAAGGUACCGAAUGAAUAAGGACCGGCUAAUUCCGUG
rnacentral:rRNA from 1 species